UGGGGAAUAUUGCACAAUGGGCGCAAGCCUGAUGCAGCCAUGCCGCGUGUGUGAAGAAGGCCUUCGGGUUGUAAAGCACUUUCAGCGGGGAGGAAGGCGUUAAGGUUAAUAACCUUGGCGAUUGACGUUACCCGCAGAAGAAGCACCGGCUAACUCCGUGCCAGCAGCCGCGGUAAUACGGAGGGUGCAAGCGUUAAUCGGAAUUACUGGGCGUAAAGCGCACGCAGGCGGUCUGUCAAGUCGGAUGUGAAAUCCCCGGGCUUAACCUGGGCACUGCAUUCGAAACUGGCAGGCUAGAGUCUUGUAGAGGGGGGUAGAAUUCCAGGUGUAGCGGUGAAAUGCGUAGAGAUCUGGAGGAAUACCGGUGGCGAAGGCGGCCCCCUGGACAAAGACUGACGCUCAGGUGCGAAAGCGUGGGGAGCAAACAGG
rnacentral:rRNA from 1 species